rnacentral:ncRNA from 1 species
GGCCGUUUCGUUCCGUACGGCGGCCUAUUUUGGGGGAGGAGGCGCGAAACCGCCCCCAGGAGAACCGCUUUCGCGGGACGGUCCCGGCAUGGAUGGCCGGGACAAGA